rnacentral:rRNA from 1 species
CCCUUAGAUGUUCUGGGCGGCCCGCGCACUACAUUGGCACUCUCAAUAAGUUCCUAGAUCUAAAACUUUGGGGUAUUCUAUUAAGUGGUGUCGUGACUGGGAUUAACCCUUGCAAUUAUUGGUUACGAACGAGGAAUUCCUUGUAAUCGCGGUUUAUCAGCCCGCGUUGAAUGCGUCCCUGCCCUUUGUACACACUGCCCGUCGCUCCUACCGAUGAAUCGUCCGGUGAAGUUCAUGGAGUGGUGGUUGUUCCAGCUGCUGUCGAAGUGAAAUGGACCUCACGAUUUAGAGGAAGGAGAAGUCGUAACA